AGUUUGGUGAUUCAUCUCGGGAUUGCGAUUUUGAACACAGCUCCAUGAUUUAUCUCCGUGGAUUUGGAACUCUUCGUCUUCUUUGAUCAGAGGUUGUGUUUGGUUGAACCCCACUAAAGAAAUCAUAAGUUUUCUCACUCUACUCGGCGAAAGAGAAGACAAGUGGACAAGGUUUUGCUUGAAACUCUAGAGGAAGAGAUUGACUUCCAAAGUUUGAGUAUUAGAGAGAUAAUUUUGCUUGUAGAGUAUCGGGAGCGGAUGUCGAGCAAAGGGGGAAAAACAUUAGAACCACCUUCAACCAAUCAAAGGUAUGGAAAUUCUCCAAACAGGUAUUCAAAAGUUUGGAAAGUUGUGAGAAUCUUUUGCAGCCAUGUGUGAUGGGUGAUCCUCAAGAAAUUAUUGGUCUGAUUCUUUAAGGAAUCAUGUUUUAGUUAUUGUUCUGGAGUAAUUGCUCAUAAUACUUGAACAAUGCUCAUUUUAUUCCUUAAACCCUGUAUCACCAAGCUUAAAUCAGCCCUAACAUUCCUUUUGGCCUUCAAUUUUAACGUCCAAGCAAGAUUAGUAGUUGGUGUUCCUUUUUCUUUUUUUAACCUCCAGCAACACUCCGGCCACCAACUCCAGCGUACAUCUUUGACCACCCCACCUCAAGCCACCAACAACAAAUCACCAAACAUGUUUCUUUAUUUUUGUUUUCAUUUGUAUUCAAAACAAAUUACACCAAACAAGUUGUUAGUUGGUUUCUUGUUUUAUGUAGCAAUAUUAUCAAACAAUCCCUUAGGAAUUGGUUUUUGAUUUUCUAAAGGCAUGUAUGUUCUUUAACUUCUAUUUCUAAUUAUUAUUUUUGCUGUGCAAUUUUUGUAAUCCUUUCACCAACUAUAAUGAAGAUGAGAACUUUGAGUCUGAACAAGGAGGAAGGUCCAAUAAUGAUCCAGCAAAUCUUGUAGUUCAAGAGAGUUCUAAUUACCCUAAUUAUCAGUCUUACAUGAAGAAAACACCAAGGUCAAGAUGGUCAAAACAACACACAAAAUUGUUCUAUGAAGUUGUGCGGCAGUUUGGUACAGACAUAUCAAUGAUUCAACUACCUUUUCCUGGUUGUACAUGCAACCAAGUCAAGUUGAAAUAUAAUAAGAAAGAGGAGCGUCAGCAACCCUUGAGGGUUCAAGAAGCUUUAACUAAUCGUGCCGAACGUAGAGCAAGUAGCUGAGUGGGUAAUGACAACGGUGCAAGGUUUUGCUGGUAAGACGAUGAAUUAUUUGAAUACUUUCACCUUGUUAAUUAUGUAAACCUUGCCAUCAUACUUGGAGCUUUCUUUUUGAAUAAAAUUAUAGUCAAUUGAGUUCAGUUAUAGAGCCAGUAGAAGUUGUCAUGAUAGCCAUCCCAAAAUAAGCUACUGUUUUUGCCUAUGUGCAUUGAUCUUUGAGGGAAUGCAAUGUCAAGUUUUUGCAUCUUCUUCUUCUUCUUCUUCUUCUUCUUCUUCUUCUUUUUGUAUUUUUAGCCACCCCAGAAGCAGCUACUUCUGUUGCCAAUGUAUUGCGAUCUUCCAAUAGGAAUGCAUUGUCAAGUAUUUGCAUUUUUGAAAUUUGGUAUUUUUCACUCUUGGAGGUGGCUUUUUGUUUGUUUUGAAGCGUGAAAAAUUUAGUUACAUAAUCUUUGCUUUCCAUCUUUUUUGUUUUGGUACUAAACUCUUAAUGCAAGAACAGCAGCACAGAUCUUGCUGCUGCAUUCUACAUGAAACCAAUUUGUGCCUCAAUGGUGAAGGCUUUAUGAAUAGAGAAGAUUUUUACCUCUCAUGCAUUACAGUAUCAAAAAUUGGGACAUUAGAGCAAUUACUUAACGAACUUGGUAAUGAAUUUGUUGGUUUCAUCUAGAAAUGCCAAUGUGGUAUAAAAAAGAUGAUAGUAACAGUCUUUGUGGAGUGCCAACAUGUUAUUUCAAACCUCUAUGUUGCCUUUAACUCAUUUUCAAGUUCUUUCUGAGGACUUAAAAGAGUGGUCAUUCAUGAAGUUGUAUAUGCUCUAGUUUAUUUAAGCACAACGUUUUGUUCUUGAGUCAGCCAGUUUAUGGACUAGCCCUGAUUGUUUUGACUUUAUCAGCUUUAUGUUCGAGCUUGUAAAUGAGUGAGAAGCUAGACUCAAAGUGGUUGUACUAAUAUUUAUCUAAUGUUGAAACAUCUCUAUUGUAAAUUCUUAGUUUUGCUUGUAUGAUACUUGUGAGCAAAUGAUGUAGAAUAGAAGACAAACCUAGCAGCUGCCAUUGUGGUGACAAAGGAAGAUAAAUAAUUGGCAAUUUCUCAGCACAAAAAUGAGCCUAGAUGGAGGUCACUUGAGCAGAGGAUCUAAGUAGCUCUGUUAGGAGUAGGGCUUGCUUUUUUAAUAGAGACUUGUACAUCCUCCUUUGAUUAAAACCAUGGUUGGUCUCUGCUAAUGCCAUUUGGGAGUCACUUCUGUAAGAUCCUUAUCUUUGUGAUGUGAUGACCUAUAUCAGUCACUUGAAGUUGAAGUAUGAUUAUUGGAUGGGUCACUAUACAUUCCUGCAGCCUAGCUGUUACAUGCUGAUUGUGAUCGGUGUUUUCCUCAACAAGCUGACAUUAUAAUCUCUCUCUCUCUCUUCCUUCUCUGUGCUGCUGUUACUUUGUGUUUGUGUUGGAGCUUUUCCUUCUCUGUGCGGCUGUUGCUGCUGCUGCAUUGUGUUUGUGUUGGAGUUAGUUGUUGCUACUGCUGCUUUGUGUUGUGUUGGAGUUAGUUACUGCUGUUGCUGCUUUGUGUUUGUUCAUCUUUCGCUCUCUUAUUGUUCUUAAUACUUGAAAUGGUUGAUUUAUUUUUAUUU